GCUUGUUUCGGCAAGCACGUACGCUAAAUUGGAUACGAUACAGAGAAGAUUAGCAUGGCCCCUGUGUAAGG
rnacentral:snRNA from 1 species